UCAUAAACGUGAUCGAAUUGUUAGCACUAAUCAUUAAUUCUAAGAACAUAGCUCCCAUAGAUCUUAAUUGUUACUGCUUCCCCCCCUCACCCCCCUCAAACACCUAUACAAAUUCGGAGCAUGCGGGAAUCAAAUGUAUAAUCUCUUAUUCUCAUUAAUUUCAAAAGUUUGAACCAUUAAAAAUACACAAUUAAUUCACUUAAAGCGCAAAGACACAACGCCGAUAGAUUUCAAUUGUAACUCAGCCCAACUAGUCUCAUUUUAUUUGGAACAUGACUCAGUCAAACUUAGCCUCCCAUCACAGAACAAAAUGCUGACCUUUCUAAGCUAACAGAAUGUACCCCAAAUAUGUAU
rnacentral:lncRNA from 1 species